rnacentral:rRNA from 1 species
AUAGAGACCGGCGCACGGGUGCGUAACGCGUAUGCAAUCUGCCUUCACAGAGGGAUAGCCCAGAGAAAUUUGGAUUAAUACCUCAUAGUAUUAUGCCUCGGCCGAGAUAUAAUUAAAGUCACAACGGUGAAAGAUGAGCAUGCGUCCCAUUAGCUAGUUGAAGGUAACGGCUUACCAAGGCAACGAUGGGUAGGGGUCCUGAGAGGGAGAUCCCCCACUGGUACUGAGACACGGACCAGACUCCUACGGGAGGCAGCAGUGAGGAAUAUUGGACAAGGCGCAAGCCUGAUCCAGCCAUGCCGCGUGCAGGAUGACGGUCCUAUGGAUUGUAAACCUUUUGUACGAGAAGAAACACUCCUUCGUGAAGGAAUUUGACGGUAUCGUAAGAAUAAAUCGGCUAACUCCGUGCCAGCAGCCGCGGUAAUACGGAGGAUCCAAGCGUUAUCCGGACAUUGGGUUUAAAGGGUCCGUAGGCGGUUUAGUAAGUCAGUGGUGAAAGCCCAUCGCUACGGUGGAACGGCCAUUGAUACUGCUGAACUUGAAUUAUUAGGAAGUAACUAGAAUAUAGUGUAGCGGUGAAAUGCUUAGAGAUUACAUGGAAUACCAAUUGCGAAGGCAGGUUACCUAAUUGAUUGACGCUGAUGGACGAAAGCGUGGGGAGCGAACAGGAUUAGAUACCCUGAGUCCACGCCGUAAACGAUGGAUACUAGCUGUUGGGAGCAAUUUCAGUGGCUAAGCGA